GAAACACCCCAAUGGAGCAAGACUUGCUUCUGUGGGGCUUUGGUACUCACGGAGUCUGCCCCUUGGGUGUGUCACU
rfam:Myotis brandtii contig280420, whole genome shotgun sequence.